rnacentral:rRNA from 1 species
UACAGAGGAGCCAAGCGUUGUCCGGAUUGACUGGGCGUAAAGCGCACGCAGGCGGCCGUGCACGUGGGGUGUGAAAGCGCUCGGCUUAACUGAGCGAUGCCACCUCAUACGGCAGGGCUCGAGCCCGUGAGAGGUCCACGGAAUUGCCGGUGUAGUGGUGAAAUGCGUAGAGAUCGGCAGGAACACCCAGGGGGAAACCAGUGGACUGGCACGGUGCUGACGCUCAGGUGCGAAAGCGUGGGGAGCGAACCGG